GAAAUGCGAUACGUAGUGUGAAUUGCAGAAUUCAGUGAAUCAUCGAAUCUUUGAACGCACAUUGCGCCCUUUGGUAUUCCAAAGGGCAUGCCUGUUCGAGCGUCAUUUGUACCCUCAAGCUUUGCUUGGUGUUGGGCGUCUUUGUCUCUCACGAGACUCGCCUUAAAAUGAUUGGCAGCCGACCUACUGGUUUCGGAGCGCAGCACAAUUCUUGCACUUUGAAUCAGCCUUGGUUGAGCAUCCAUCAAGACCACAUUUUUUUCAACUUUUGACCUCGGAUCAGGUAGGGAUACCCGCUGAACUUAA
rnacentral:misc_RNA from 1 species